AGUGAACGCUGGCGGUAGGCCUAACACAUGCAAGUCGAACGGCAGCACAGUAAGAGCUUGCUCUUACGGGUGGCGAGUGGCGGACGGGUGAGGAAUACAUCGGAAUCUACUUUUUCGUGGGGGAUAACGUAGGGAAACUUACGCUAAUACCGCAUACGACCUACGGGUGAAAGCAGGGGAUCUUCGGACCUUGCGCGAUUGAAUGAGCCGAUGUCGGAUUAGCUAGUUGGCGGGGUAAAGGCCCACCAAGGCGACGAUCCGUAGCUGGUCUGAGAGGAUGAUCAGCCACACUGGAACUGAGACACGGUCCAGACUCCUACGGGAGGCAGCAGUGGGGAAUAUUGGACAAUGGGCGCAAGCCUGGUCCAGCCAUACCGCGUGAGUGAAGAAGGCCUUCGGGUUGUAAAGCCCUUUUGUUGGGAAAGAAAAGCAGCAGGUUAAUACCCCGCUGUUCUGACGGUACCCAAAGAAUAAGCACCGGCUAACUUCGUG
rnacentral:rRNA from 1 species